UGAUGUUGUUGGUUUGAUGAUGUAGAGAUAAUGAAUGGCUUGUGAUGUGGUGGUGGUUUGUAGACCGAUGCUUGAUUUCAUAUUGUUUACAAAGAGUAGAUCUUCACAAGUUAUGGUCGGAGAUAGUAAAUUUGGUAGCCGGAAAUCAAAAUGGAGGUGGUGGUGAAAAAGACAGAAGAAGACGAUAUGAUGGGUUGAGGUGGGUCUAAAUGGGCCCUUUAUUAAUUACUAUUAUUAAUACCGUAAAAAAAACAGAAAACAAAAAAAUAAAUAAAUAAAUAAAAAGGGUAAUAUUGUAUUUUUAUAUAGGCCAAGGAUCAUGGGUGGAGUUUCUUUAAACCAUGAUGGUCCUAUCAAAUUCUCAAAAGGUUAGCCCAAAUUGCUAAUUUAAACAAAACCAAAUUGGACCAUUUCUAUAAUUUAUUUAUCAUAAAAUAAAAUUCAAGUGUGCUUACAAACAGUAACAAGUACUAAGCUUAGCCAAACCACUUUUUCUUUGGCCGGCUGGUUUUAAUCCCUGGCUUCUAUUCAAGCCGGCUUGGGUUUUUGGAGUUGCGGCUUUAGUUUACUUUAUCAUCAGCUAACCCCUUUUUAUGGCUAAAAGUAUCGGCUCCACCGCUUAAAUCCCCUAAAUCACAAAACGAUAAUCUGUGCUUGAAUUUCCAUUUUGCUGGUGUUCCUGGUGGUGGCCAACAAAAGCCCUAAAUCGAUUUCAAUCGUAUACGCUGCAUCUCCAUUCAACAUUAACGAUAUGUCAAACCUUCCUUGUAUCUCUCUCGUCGGGUUUGCACCCCUCCCAAACCUCCGAUUUCAUUUCAUCGCCUUCAAUCAAAUCGGCGCCAACGUGAAAGGAAGACAAUCUGUUGGUCCGGAACGAAAUCACGACUACCAAUGAGGACGACGAUCAACCAGAUUCUGAUAUUGACUUUGAAUCGAACUUGGACUCGGAGUCGGAUUCGGGGGUAUUCAGUGUAUUCUUCAGACGAUGAAAGCGGAAACGACGAUGAGAGCCGGCGGAGACAAUCGACCAAUGAGGUCGACGCCUACUACUCCUUUGCAUUUCACUUUCUUCUAGAUAGUAGUGGUUGUUGCUGACACUGUUUGUUUUCAAAAAGGUAUUGUAUCUUUUUGCUUAUUGAGUGUAGCAGAUUGGUCUUCAUUCCCAACAAUAUCAGUAAGCUCUUCAUCAUCUUGUAGCGAAAAUAUGUGAGUUAAUGUAAUCUGAAUUAAUUGUACAUGCUUUGGGAUGUGGAUUAUGGAAUAGUUGUAAUUGGAAAUUGGAUUGGUGUACAUCUUUCAUUUCUCGA